rnacentral:rRNA from 1 species
UACGAAGGGGGCUAGCGUUGCUCGGAAUCACUGGGCGUAAAGGGUACGUAGGCGGGUUUUUAAGUCAGGGGUGAAAUCCUGGAGCUCAACUCCAGAACUGCCUUUGAUACUGAAGAUCUCGAGUCCGGGAGAGGUGAGUGGAACUGCGAGUGUAGAGGUGAAAUUCGUAGAUAUUCGCAAGAACACCAGUGGCGAAGGCGGCUCACUGGCCCGGUACUGACGCUGAGGCACGAAAGCGUGGGGAGCAAACAGG